GAACCAGUGGUAUAGUGGGUUGAGCAUUGGACUACAACUCUGAAGACCAAGGUUCAAAUCCUUGCUUAGUCA